rnacentral:misc_RNA from 1 species
GAUGAAGAACGCAGCGAAAUGCGAUAAGUAAUGUGAAUUGCAGAAUUCAGUGAAUCAUCGAAUCUUUGAACGCACCUUGCGCUCCUUGGUAUUCCGAGGAGCAUGCCUGUUUGAGUGUCAUGAAACCCUCAAACCCAAGUUUUGGAUUUCGAUCCAUGCUUGAGUUUGGAUUUGGAUGUUUGCCGGUGAUGAACCGACUCAUCUUAAAAGUAUUAGCUUGGAUCUGUCUAUAUGACUGGUUUGACUUGGCAUAAUAAGUAUUUUGCUGAGGACAUCUUCGGAUGGCCAGGACCUAGACUACUGUCUGCUAACUAAACCAUCACUUUAAGUGCAUCUUUGGAUGUUACUCAUUGUGUAACUUUGACAUCUGGCCUCAAAUCAAGUAGGACUACCCGCUGAACUUAAGCAUAUCAAUAAGCGGAGGA